UACGAAGGGGGCUAGCGUUGCUCGGAAUUACUGGGCGUAAAGGGAGCGUAGGCGGAUAGUUUAGUCAGAGGUGAAAGCCCAGGGCUCAACCCUGGAAUUGCCUUUGAUACUGGCUAUCUUGAGUGUGGGAGAGGUUAGCGGAACUCCGAGUGUAGAGGUGAAAUUCGUAGAUAUUCGGAAGAACACCAGUGGCGAAGGCGGCUAACUGGCCCAUUACUGACGCUGAGGCUCGAAAGCUAGGGGAGCGAACAGG
rnacentral:rRNA from 1 species